AGAUAUCUCUCUCUAAAACAAAACAGUCAGAUCUAUACAUAUGUACACACACACUGUGUAUCUAUCUGUUGCUGUCGUCUCUAAUUCGCUUGGUGCAGGUCGGGAACUGACUCGACGGUGACUGUCGGCGCCGCAUUUUCAUUCGAAUUUCCCAUAUAUGUAUUGCCUGUUACUGUUUGGAGGUGUCAGCAUUUCGUGGAUUUAGUCUAGGUGCGCGAAAGCUGGCGAGGACAUUAUGGUUAUAAAAGAAAAUAUUAUGUGUAGAUAUGUAGAGAGAGUUUAGGUUGAUGAGUUACUUAUGGAUGAAUAAUGCGUCCUCGUCUAUAGCGAAGUUUGUUCCCGCCUUGCAUCAACUGAAUCGGAGACUGCGGUGAAUUUGAAUAUCUACGGAUCGAUCUAAUUAUCUCCGAUACAUGAGUAACAUACUGGUAUCAACUCUUUUCUUGGACUGGGUGAAAACUGCAGAAAGAAUAGAAGGCGUGGUUGAUGGCAAUUUCAAGAUGGAAUACCUUUGGAAGAACCCAGUUUUCUGGGCUAGGUUGCAUCGUGAAAUAUCUGCUACAAAAUAAACAAAGAAGAUAUCAAAUAUAAAAAGUUGAAGGAUCUUCAGCAGAAGACAAAGCAUGACAUGUGAUGCGUGCAUGGCUUUAUAGUGGAGUUCAAUGUGCAGCAAGGGGAGUUUUUUUGUUGGAUGCUGCUGCAGCCAGUUGGAGUGGGUUAAUUUUGGUUGCAUGUGGCAAGGUUGUAGCCCUGAAAAAGACCAUUUAAAUUCUGAGCGUGCCUCAUUUGCCAAUACCAUCUUGGUACAUUCCAUUUUCAUUCUCUUGAUUGUUAUUCCCUGAACCCCUACCAUUCCCUUCUUGAACACUUCUGUUCCUAAAGGAUUCAUUAUAUUGGCGUAAUCCGGUAUCAAAGCAAGGAUUUACUUCGUCAUAAUUUAUGGUGAAAGCAACCAAAAUACAGAUGAGGCAGCCAAUGAAAUGAGGAUGAUGGAGGAUUUGAGAACGGUUCUUCAAUGAUAUGAAGUUUGAGUCAAAGACAAAUUGGAUAUCAAUUAUGGAACUUAUGCACCCAAGGGUGUGGCUAGUGGUCAAUGAAGUGGUUGAGGUCUGAGGUUCAAAUCCCAACGAAGACAAAAACACUAGAUGAUUUCUUCCUAUAUGUCCUAGCCUUGGUGAACAGAGUGGUGGGAGGUAGCAAGUAUCGUGUGGAAUUAGUCAAGGUGCCCACAAGCUGAUCCAGUAUGAAACUUGUGAAAUCCACAAACGUGGUAAAGAAAGAUAAGGGUAUGUUGAGCAUGACCGUUCGUGUACCAAAUAAUAAGAUAAGGGUAUGUUGAGCAUGACCGUUCGUGUACCAAAUAAUGGGGUUCUACGAUCAGAUACAACUUCAAUUCAAAUGCCAGCCAUCAGUUAGCUUGUAUUUCAAAGCCGGAUCUUCUAAAUUGCUAUCCCUUAAUUCCUGGUUAAAGGCAGACUGGUAGACUAAAAACUUUUGUCGAAUGGUUUUCAUCUUUGUUUCACAAGCAAAUGUAGUUAUGAUCCAAUUCUCGGAGAUACCAUCUGGAGGCAUCAAAUUUACCAUCAUGGCAGAAUGCAUACUGAUGCCUUAGUGAGUGGAAUAUGGCCAAUCACUUGUUGAGAGGUUCGGGGCUAAGCCAGAGGAUCACGUGACAACUCACCCAGUUAAAGCAGAUAAAGAGCAUCCUGGAUUAUCAAACCAAAAUGCUAAAUCUUAACAAGGAAUAUUGCAGCCCAAUCCAAAUGAUUCAAGAUGUAAACAUCAGUCCUCGCUGCUCCUAGCAGCUGUGUAGGGAUAGGAGAUCCAGGGAACUCCAGCAAUUGGAUGUAAUCAAAGAGUCUAAAUAUGAGCAUAACCUCAAGUAAAUCAGUCAACAACAUUCUAAGCCUAUCAAUACACUAGACCGAAACAAACGAAGGCUUUAUGAGGCCCAGGCUUCCACAACAUUUGGCAUGCCAGAAGAUCAAAAUUACACGUGCAGUAUAUAGAAUGUUACAUUUAAGGGGUAUUUUCAAUAAUAGACACAGUUGCUCUUACUUUGACUGACCUUGGAGAUGGUGUAUGUUUUAUGAACUGAUGUGAGUAGUUAGCUGCCAAAUUGUACUUUGUAUACUCUUAGUUAUGUUAAGGUUGCUUGAGGACAAGCAAUUAUUUUAAGUUGAGGGUGUUGAUGUGUGCGCAAUUACGAACACAUUUGAGGCCCUUAACCUAGAAUAAUUGUGAGGCCUUAAGCAACUUUUGUCGUUUUUUGAUGUGUUCAAGUUAAUUUUACAGAUUAAGCUAACGGGAUAGAGAACCAACAAGAAUGGAGGCAAAGAAGUCGACAUCUGAAGAAAUCUGAAGAAAAGUGUGGCUGACGACAUCCGUGACAAGGCGUCAUCCCCAUGAUAGGCUAUCGCAGUUGCCGUCAAACGUAACCAGGGAGUUGGCAUGAAGUGAAUGUUGUGACGACAUAUGCUAAUAAGAUGUCAAAAGUGUGACAAGCCGUCAGAAUUAUCGUCAACCUUAGGUAGAAAUUACCAAUAUGGAGGAGGAGCUGAAGAAAUCCAUAACACGCCAUCAGACUCCGAAUAGGCCAUCACUGUCUUUGUCAACCUUAGGCAGUAGAAGCUAAAUUUGUAGAGAAGCUGACGACGUCCGUAAUAGGCCGUCAAAAUCAUGAUAGGCCAUCACAAUCGCCAUCAUCUAUUCCGAAGAAAAUCUGAAACUUUAAUUUUAUUUCUUUAUUUAGGGUUAACUAUUUAAAGCCUUGUUUUAGGAUUUUUCUAUUAUCCAUCAAUUAAUUGACGUAUCCUACAACAUACAACUUCUCUCUCUCUAUCAAAAGAACAAUAUUUUUAGAGUUUUGUCUUGUGAUUCAAUUACAAGUUCACUUUUGAUUUCCU